GACGAACCGUCCUAACGUUGUUCGGAAUCACUGGGCUUAAAGGGCGCGUAGGCGGGCUGUCAAGUCUGGGGUGAAAUGCCGCGGCUCAACCGUGGAACUGCCUUAGAUACUGACGGCCUCGAGGAAGGUAGGGGCAUGCGGAACUGUAGGUGGAGCGGUGAAAUGCGUUGAUAUCUACAGGAACUCCGGUGGCGAAAGCGGCGUGCUGGACCUUUUCUGACGCUGAGGCGCGAAAGCUAGGGGAGCAAACGGG
rnacentral:rRNA from 1 species